rnacentral:rRNA from 1 species
UACGUAGGGGGCGAGCGUUGUCCGGAAUCAUUGGGCGUAAAGGGCGCGUAGGCGGCCGCUCAAGUCGGGGGUGAAAUCUUUCAGCUCAACUGGAAAAUAGCCUCCGAUACUGGGCGGCUGGAGGGAGAUAGGGGUGCGCGGAACUUCCGGUGGAGCGGUGAAAUGCGUAGAUAUCGGAAGGAACGCCGGUGGCGAAAGCGGCGCACUGGAUCUCAUCUGACGCUGAGGCGCGAAAGCCAGGGGAGCAAACGGG